rfam:Camelus ferus unplaced genomic scaffold scaffold1681, whole genome shotgun sequence.
GAGGGUAUAGCUCAGUGGUAGGGUGCGUGCCUAGCAUGCACAAGGUCCUGGGUUCAAUACCUAGUAUCUCCA